rnacentral:pre_miRNA from 2 species
AAAUUGGGUCACUUACAGCUUCAAUACAGUGGUCCAUCGCUGAAAGGCGCCUUUCGUGUUGGAGCUGUGAAAACAAGGUU